GCUGACGAGUGGCGGACGGGUGAGUAAUGUCUGGGAAACUGCCUGAUGGAGGGGGAUAACUACUGGAAACGGUGGCUAAUACCGCAUAACGUCGCAAGACCAAAGAGGGGGACCUUCGGGCCUCUUGCCAUCAGAUGUGCCCAGAUGGGAUUAGCUAGUUGGUGAGGUAACGGCUCACCAAGGCGACGAUCCCUAGCUGGUCUGAGAGGAUGACCAGCCACACUGGAACUGAGACACGGUCCAGACUCCUACGGGAGGCAGCAGUGGGGAAUAUUGCACAAUGGGCGCAAGCCUGAUGCAGCCAUGCCGCGUGUAUGAAGAAGGCCUUCGGGUUGUAAAGUACUUUCAGCGGGGAGGAAGGUGUUGUGGUUAAUAACCGCAGCAAUUGACGUUACCCGCAGAAGAAGCACCGGCUAACUCCGUGCCAGCAGCCGCGGUAAUACGGAGGGUGCAAGCGUUAAUCGGAAUUACUGGGCGUAAAGCGCACGCAGGCGGUCUGUCAAGUCGGAUGUGAAAUCCCCGGGCUCAACCUGGGAACUGCAUUCGAAACUGGCAGGCUUGAGUCUUGUAGAGGGGGGUAGAAUUCCAGGUGUAGCGGUGAAAUGCGUAGAGAUCUGGAGGAAUACCGGUGGCGAAGGCGGCCCCCUGGACAAAGACUGACGCUCAGGUGCGAAAGCGUGGGGAGCAAACAGGAUUAGAUACCCUGGUAGUCCACGCCGUAAACGAUGUCUACUUGGAGGUUGUGCCCUUGAGGCGUGGCUUCCGGAGCUAACGCGUUAAGUAGACCGCCUGGGGAGUACGGCCGCAAGGUUAAAACUCAAAUGAAUUGACGGGGGCCCGCACAAGCGGUGGAGCAUGUGGUUUAAUUCGAUGCAACGCGAAGAACCUUACCUGGUCUUGACAUCCACGGAAGUUUUCAGAGAUGAGAAUGUGCCUUCGGGAACCGUGAGACAGGUGCUGCAUGGCUGUCGUCAGCUCGUGUUGUGAAAUGUUGGGUUAAGUCCCGCAACGAGCGCAACCCUUAUCCUUUGUUGCCAGCGGUCCGGCCGGGAACUCAAAGGAGACUGCCAGUGAUAAACUGGAGGAAGGUGGGGAUGACGUCAAGUCAUCAUGGCCCUUACGACCAGGGCUACACACGUGCUACAAUGGCGCAUACAAAGAGAAGCGACCUCGCGAGAGCAAGCGGACCUCAUAAAGUGCGUCGUAGUCCGGAUUGGAGUCUGCAACUCGACUCCAUGAAGUCGGAAUCGCUAGUAAUCGUGGAUCAGAAUGCCACGGUGAAUACGUUCCCGGGCCUUGUACACACCGCCCGUCACACCAUGGGAGUGGGUUGCAAAAGAAGUAGGUAGCUUAACCUUCGGGAGGGCGCUUACCACUUUGUGAUUCAUGACUGGGGUGAAGUCGUAACAAGGUAACCGUAGGGGAACCUGCGGUUGGAUCACCUCCUUACCUUAAAGAA
rnacentral:rRNA from 2 species